UACCUUUGUGCCCGAAUUGGUUUGCCAAGGCCCAGUGCUAGGCGAUUAAAAGGGAACGGGGUGCAACUCUCCGACUGUCCCGCAGCUGUAAGUUCUUUACGGUUUUCUUCCAGAGGCGGCAUCUAAAAAGCCACUAAACACGCUGUGUCAGCGCAGGCAUGCUUUUUAAAUAACGCUGUUACAUAAGCCACUGUUUCGGUUCAAUCGCAUGGUUUGGCGAACCGAAUUGGGAAGGCGAAGAGAAUUAGAACAAAGUCAGAAGACCUGCCUGUUCGUCAAAAGUGCC
rnacentral:ncRNA from 2 species